UACGUAGGGUGCAAGCGUUGUCCGGAAUUAUUGGGCGUAAAGAGCUCGUAGGCGGUUUGUUGCGUCGGCUGUGAAAUCCCGAGGCUCAACCUCGGGUCUGCAGUCGAUACGAGCAAACUAGAGUGUUGCAGGGGAGACUGGAAUUCCUGGUGUAGCGGUGAAAUGCGCAGAUAUCUGGAGGAACACCGGUGGCGAAGGCGGCAUCCUGGACCGAUAUUGACGCUGAGGCGCGAAAAGCCAGGGGAGCAAACGGG
rnacentral:rRNA from 1 species